rnacentral:rRNA from 1 species
GACGAACGCUGGCGGCGUGCCUAAUACAUGCAAGUAGAACGCUGAAGAGAGGAGCUUGCUCUUCUUGGAUGAGUUGCGAACGGGUGAGUGACGCGUAGGUAACCUGCCUUGUAGCGGGGGAUAACUAUUGGAAACGAUAGCUAAUACCGCAUAACAAUGGAUGACACAUGUCAUUUAUUUGAAAGGGGCAAUUGCUCCACUACAAGAUGGACCUGCGUUGUAUUAGCUAGUAGGUGAGGUAAUGGCUCACCUAGGCGACGAUACAUAGCCGACCUGAGAGGGUGAUCGGCCACACUGGGACUGAGACACGGCCCAGACUCCUACGGGAGGCAGCAGUAGGGAAUCUUCGGCAAUGGGGGCAACCCUGACCGAGCAACGCCGCGUGAGUGAAGAAGGUUUUCGGAUCGUAAAGCUCUGUUGUAAGUCAAGAACGGGUGUGAGAGUGGAAAGUUCACACUGUGACGGUAGCUUACCAGAAAGGGACGGCUAACUACGUG